rnacentral:tRNA from 1 species
GGAAGGGUGGCUGAGUGGUUGAAGGCACUCGACUCGAAAUCGAGCGGGCUCAAAAGGCCUCGUGGGUUCGAAUCCCACCCCUUCCG